rnacentral:rRNA from 1 species
GACGAAGGAUGCAAGCGUUAUCCGGAUUCAUUGGGUUUAAAGGGCGCGUAGGUGGUCUUCUAAGUCAGUGGUGAAAUCUCUCGGCUUAACUGAGAAAUUGCCAUUGAUACUGGGAGACUUGAGUGUAGUUGCCGUUGGCGGAAUAUGACAUGUAGUGGUGAAAUACAUAGAGAUGUCAUAGAACACCGAUUGCGAAGGCAGCUAACGAAGCUGUAACUGACGCUGAGGCUCGAAAGUGCGGGGAUCAAACAGG